rnacentral:rRNA from 1 species
AGUUUGAUCCUGGCUCAGGAUGAACGCUAGCUACAGGCUUAACACAUGCAAGUCGAGGGGCAGCAUUGGAGUAGCAAUACUUCAGAUGGCGGCCGGCGCACGGGUGAGUAACACGUAUCCAACCUGCCGCUUACUCGGGGAUAGCCUUUCGAAAGAAAGAUUAAUACCCGAUGGUAUAAAGAGUUCGCAUGUUCUCUUUAUUAAAGAAUUUCGGUAAGCGAUGGGGAUGCGUUCCAUUAGAUAGUUGGCGGGGUAACGGCCCACCAAGUCUACGAUGGAUAGGGGUUCUGAGAGGAAGGUCCCCCACAUUGGAACUGAGACACGGUCCAAACUCCUACGGGAGGCAGCAGUGAGGAAUAUUGGUCAAUGGACGAGAGUCUGAACCAGCCAAGUAGCGUGAAGGAUGACUGCCCUAUGGGUUGUAAACUUCUUUUAUAAGGGAAUAAAGUGAGGGACGUGUCCCUUUUUGUAUGUACCUUAUGAAUAAGGAUCGGCUAACUCCGUGCCAGCAGCCGCGGUAAUACGGAGGAUCCAAGCGUUAUCCGGAUUUAUUGGGUUUAAAGGGAGCGUAGGUUGACAUAUAAGUCAGCUGUGAAAGUUUACGGCUCAACCGUGAAAUUGCAGUUGAUACUGUAUGUCUUGAGUGUACAAGAGGUGGGCGGAAUUCGUGGUGUAGCGGUGAAAUGCUUAGAUAUCACGAAGAACUCCAAUUGCGAAGGCAGCUCACUGGGGUACAACUGACACUGAGGCUCGAAAGUGUGGGUAUCAAACAGGAUUAGAUACCCUGGUAGUCCACACAGUAAACGAUGAAUACUCGCUGUUUGCGAUAUACAGUAAGCGGCCAAGCGAAAGCAUUAAGUAUUCCACCUGGGGAGUACGCCGGCAACGGUGAAACUCAAAGGAAUUGACGGGGGCCCGCACAAGCGGAGGAACAUGUGGUUUAAUUCGAUGAUACGCGAGGAACCUUACCCGGGCUUGAAUUGCAGAGGAAUAUAGUUGAAAGAUUAUCGCCGCAAGGUCUCUGUGAAGGUGCUGCAUGGUUGUCGUCAGCUCGUGCCGUGAGGUGUCGGCUUAAGUGCCAUAACGAGCGCAACCCUUAUCAUUAGUUACUAACAGGUCAUGCUGAGGACUCUAGUGAGACUGCCGUCGUAAGAUGUGAGGAAGGUGGA